rnacentral:rRNA from 1 species
GAGUUAUGGCUCAGGACGAACGACUGGCGGUAUGCGUUAACACAUGCAAGUCGAACGAGGAAACCUCGAAUAGAAGUACCUUCGGGAGGAAAGGAAGAGGGAAGAAAGUGGCGAACGGGUGAGUAACGCGUGGGCAACCUACCUCACGGAAAGGGAUAGCCUCGGGAAACCGGGAGUAAAACCAUAUAAGACCACAGCGUCGCAUGACGCAGGGGUCAAAACUCCGGUGCCGUGAGAUGGGCCCGCGUCCCAUUAGCUAGUUGGCAGGGUAAAGGCCUACCAAGGCGACGAUGGGUAGCCGGUCUGAGAGGGCGAACGGCCACAUUGGAACUGAGACACGGUCCAAACUCCUACGGGAGGCAGCAGUGGGGAAUAUUGCGCAAUGGGGGGAAAAACCCCUGACGCAGCAAUACCGCGUGAGCGAAGAAGGUUUUCGGAUCGUAAAGCUCUGUUAUCGGGGAAGAAGAAGUGACGGUACCCGAUGAGGAAGUCCCGGCUAACUACGUGCCAGCCGCCGC